ACAGAUUAUUUGAAGGAUUUAUGCAAAGUGAGUGUGUGGAAGAGUGAAGCAACAGAGCAGGUAUGACCAGUAACUCUGCUUCUGGUGAACCUUGUACAUGUAAGACUAGUGGAAUUUGUUUGUUUGUGUCUAUGACUACUUUAACUUUGUGGAAAAUGUGAGUGUCAAAUUUGUGUGUUUUUGUUUGCUCAUUUUUAUGAAGUCUGAAAUCAAUUUUAGUUUUAGUUUUACCUUGUAAGUGUCGUUUAUCUCUCAUUCUCAAGAUAAUGAGUUUUUUUUUAUUGGUGCUUCACAUGCUUAAAAUCUUUGGAAUGAUCCUUGUAUCUGUUUGCAGUGAAGAAACUGAAUGUUAUAGUUUUCGAGGACUAGAGUGAUGCACAAUUUCUUGAACUGAUAUCCAACAUCUAAUAAAUUUAGCAUGCCAAUAUUGCAAAUGUAGAAAACUAUAUAUAUUGAAUAUUGUCAUGUUCCGAUAUUUAAUUAUCUGUGCUUCUUUCUGGUCAAUAAUUAGUAUCCCAAAACGGGUUUUAUACCACAA
rnacentral:lncRNA from 1 species